ensembl:lncRNA
GUUUGAGCAAGUUGCCUCACUUCUCAGCUUCGAUGUCCUCGUCUGGACAGGGCAAUGAUGGCUCACCCCUGCUUGUUGGGGGGCCAUGGAGGAAUUAAAUGUGGUAAUGGAUGAAAAGCACUUCCAACAGUGCCCAACAUGCAGUAGGUGCUUCUUUCCCAACCAAUGCUGGUACUGGCCCAUGCCAUCGCACACCUGCUCCCGAGAUCCACCUCCUGGUCUGUAAAGGGGAGAGUGAGCAGGAGAGAUGCCUGACAGGCCUUAACAGACCUGCUAGCUCCCUCUCCCUCUCCUGCACUCUCUGCCCCAAGCGGAGCAGAGCCAAGGGGUGUUGCUCUCAAGUGGAUGUGUUUCAGGGGAGGCAGACUUCCAGCUCUGGUUUGCACUUGGCUCACUGGCGUUAUCACCCACCUUGGAAUGUGGGCACCAUCUCACAGGUCGCCCCACCCUACUGCCUGAGUUCCUGCUCCCACAGCCCUCUGCUCCUCCCAGGCUCCAGCCCUGCUCCAGUCUCGUCUCCCUGUCCCUGCUUCUCCCUCUGCGGGAGCCUCCUACCAAAUCUGAGACCCAUCAGAACCCACCCUCUAAUCCAAACAGUCUCACUGGGCAUGGAGGGUGGGGGAGGCCAACUCCACGUCAAGUUCAAGCAACUCCUCUGCCCCUGGUCACCCACCUUCUCUUCUCUCUGCAUCUGAGCAGCAGAUGAUAGAUCCAAGCCAGAGGAUGCCGGAGUGAGUUACAGAUGGUUUUGAAUCCUCUGUACUAGGGCUAUGAAUGCCAUAUGGCAGAUGCUCUGAAGUGCCUGUGAUGAAGGAAUAUUCUUUUUCUUCUUCAAGGUGCAUGAAUGAUGGACAGUAGGUCAGAAUGGGUGGCCAGCAGUUAACAGGCAUGGGGCAAUGAUUUCACACUGAAAUGCACGACUGGGUACGGAGUGGGGCAGGUACGAGAGGUUGGCAGGAGGAAGCUGUGUGGAACAUUUGGGACCACAGAACGUCAAAGCCAGAAGACCCCAAACGAUGACCAGACUCGUGUGUCACAGAACUGUGAGAUCAGAAAAAGCACCCAUGAGACAUUUGGGUAAAUACACGUGGAGUUUACAAAAUGUCUGAGGCCACCAGAACCACAUUCAAACCGGGGAAAGAACGAUGGAUGAUUUAGUGGAGGAGAGAGAGGUGAGAGUAAGCCUCGGGACGGAAGGGAAAGACCCAAGCAGCAGGAGCCACACAGGUGGAGGGCGAGGACGGUCACAAAUGAGCAGACACCUUAGGUUCCUUCAGUCAGUCAUUCAACCAUCAUUCAUCCAGUGCCUGGUUCAUGCUGGAUGGGAGCCAGGCAGAUGCUGUGGUGGUCCUCGUGGAGCUGAUGGCUUUAUGGAGGAGAAAGUAAAAAAAAUCUUGCCUGUGCGCUUCCCAUUUCCCGGACCUUAUCUACAGCAAGCGGCAGCCAAUAUUUGUCAAUUCUAUAAUCUCCAAUUUCAAUCCCUGGAUGACGUCCUACCGUGUCGUCGCCUGGUGUUUCCUGCCAUUAAUGCCUCAGCCUCCAUCUCCGCGUCUCCGGCAGGAAGCAGCGCCCUGCGCUGGAAAGAGCCAGCUGGGAAGUCACACGCUCCAGGUCCCAGCGCAGCCUCUGCCCUCCGAUAGCUGUGGGCCCGUGGGGAGCCCCCCAGCCAAAGAAGGAUGGGGCAGCAUCCAGGGCUCUCGAAUUAGGUGCUGGGAUGUUUUUUAAAAAUUUCGUAGGCCUUUAAGGCUGUGUGGAAAAUGUAAUUUGUAGAAGUUGAAUAACUGUACUGUUGCCCCAGUAGGGCCUGGGCCCGCCUGGUGCUCCCUGACCACCUGGCAGUAAGGCAGGCGGCAGUGGCGCUCCUGUGCAGCGAUGCCCGAGGCCAGCUUCCGUUCUGGUUGUUUGCUCGCCACUCACAGCCCCUGCAGAGCCGACUGGAGGGAAAAUAUGUGGACCUGUUAUCCAAGAUUAAGCAAGGCCUCGGCUGACCCUGGGGAAGAAGUCAAUAAAACUCAGCCAUGCCCAACUGGUGAAAGUUCCCGUGCCAAAUUGUUAAAAAUUCUCAUCGUCUCAUCUUCUUCCCCUGAAGACCACCAGAGGCCCCCCUGCGGUGAACAGGGUGGCUCGGUUGCAGAGGGGAGAGCGCCACAGG